rnacentral:rRNA from 1 species
UACGGGGGGGGUAAGCGUUGUUCGGAAUUACUGGGCGUAAAGGGCUCGUAGGCGGCCAACUAAGUCAGACGUGAAAUCCCUCAGCUUAACUGGGGAACUGCGUCUGAUACUGGAUGGCUUGGAUUCGGGAGAGGAAUGCGGAAUUCCAGGUGUAGCGGUGAAAUGCGUAGAUAUCAGGAGGAACACCAGUGGCGAAGGCGGCUUCCUGGACACCAACUGACGCUGAGACGCGAAAGCGUGGGGAGCAAACAGG